GGGUGAGUAACGCAUAGGAAUUUACCCGAUAGUGGGGGAUAACCUGGGGGAACCCAGGCUAAUACCGCAUACGUCCUACGGGAGAAAGGGGGCUUCGGCUCCCGCUAUCGGAUGAGCCUAUGCCGGAUUAGCUGGUUGGUGAGGUAAUGGCUCACCAAGGCGACGAUCCGUAGCUGGUCUGAGAGGAUGAUCAGCCACAUCGGGACUGAGACACGGCCCGAACUCCUACGGGAGGCAGCAGUGGGGAAUAUUGGACAAUGGGGGCAACCCUGAUCCAGCCAUGCCGCGUGUGUGAAGAAGGCCCUCGGGUUGUAAAGCACUUUCAGUGAGGAAGAACGCCUGGCGGUUAAUACCCGCCAGGAAAGACAUCACUCACAGAAGAAGCACCGGCUAACUCCGUGCCAGCAGCCGCGGUAAUACGGAGGGUGCAAGCGUUAAUCGGAAUUACUGGGCGUAAAGCGCGCGUAGGUGGCUUGAUAAGCCGGUUGUGAAAGCCCCGGGCUCAACCUGGGAACGGCAUCCGGAACUGUCAGGCUAGAGUGCAGGAGAGGAAGGUAGAAUUCCCGGUGUAGCGGUGAAAUGCGUAGAGAUCGGGAGGAAUACCAGUGGCGAAGGCGGCCUUCUGGACUGACACUGACACUGAGGUGCGAAAGCGUGGGUAGCAAACAGGAUUAGAUACCCUGGUAGUCCACGCCGUAAACGAUGUCGACCAGCCGUUGGGUGCCUAGCGCACUUUGUGGCGAAGUUAACGCGAUAAGUCGACCGCCUGGGGAGUCGGCCGCAAGGUUAAAAC
rnacentral:rRNA from 1 species